AUCGCUGGGUAGCCAUGUCUGGCAAAGAUAACCGCUGAAAGCAUCUAAGUGGGAAACUUGCCCUAAGAUUAGAUCCCUGUAUUCCCGUAAGGGAGUAAGACCCCAGAUAGACUAUCUGGUAUAUAGGCAGUGUGUGUAAGCA
rnacentral:rRNA from 1 species